rnacentral:lncRNA from 1 species
UCUGUAAAUGCCCAAGAUGUUAGAGCUCCCUCUCUCUCUCUCUCUCUUUAAGACCUUGUAGACCAGAUUUUUCUCACCCCAAUUUCCCAAUUGCAUAGAAAUCUCUCUCUAUAGAGGAGUGUUUCCUUAAACAAAUGCCCAAGAGGAGUAUAGGGCUUUCUCUCUAUAGAGGAGUAUCUCCCUAUACAAAUUAUUCUCACCCCAAUCCCCAGUAGCAAACUAUUGUUGUGGAGAGAGAGCGAGAAACAUGAGGAGAGAGAGAGAGUUGGGGGAAAUCAUGGGAGAGAAAAGUUUUAGGAGAAUCAUGUGAAGAGAGAGGUUUACAAAGGGUAUGUCUUUUUAAGAUUUGUUUGGGCUAAAAACAAUAGGGUCAAAGUGAGUAAAUUUGGUCUAGGUGAUUAGAAGAUAUAAUAUAAGUGAUAACCAUGUCCUACGAUAUGUUUUGAAACUUUAGGUCUAUUGGGAAAUGAAACCUAAAAACAGGAGAUAUGGAGAUAUGUUCCCUUUAUUUUAUUUUCUUUUACACGUAGCUCGGUUUGGAUGAACUCAUCCAAAGAUGAAGCUUUUCUGAAAUAGUGCUUUUGUUAUGGAUUUCUUGAGGAACCUGCAUGAGUUUGGGAUGUUUGAUUGCUGUGUUAUUAAAAUUAUGGUUAUAAGCCACUGUUUUAUUGAACUUAUGGACUCUAUAGCUAAAGAAAACUCAGAACUUAGACGAACAUGCUUGCGAAUGAUUUUUUGAUUUUGAAGGUUGUUCGUAUUCUGUGUGUAUGGAUUUCUAUUGUUUCGUGUAGUUUAAGUUUGGGAAUAAAUGUUUACUGUGAUCUAUAACUGCAUUUAUGGCUAUGAUUUGUAUGUUUGGUGGUCAUUGGGUUGGGUGCUAUUUCAUUCAUAUCAGUGCUUUUCGUUCUUUUCUUAUUUUUUUGGCAGAUUUUAAAAAAUUUGGAACCUUUUGAUGGUUUACACUAGACAUGAAUAAAACCCACUUUCAAAAGGGAAUAUGGUGUGAUAUCCUAGGUUUCUUAUGGGUGUAUGCUUGUACUUUGAGAAUGUGAGAUCUGCCAUAUUGAAUAGUACGUUGGCUUUUGGUAUUUGAUAGAGUAGUAUCUGAUUUUAUUUUAUUUUUAUUUGAAAAGUGAGUAGUAUCUGAUGUUAAGAGCUAAGAAGUCUUAAAAUAAUAUUUUGACAAACAAUUAUGUCGGCAUUUAGUUUCAUGGAUAGUAGUUGCAAGUUUGCAACUUAACAAGUUCAAUAACAUGGCCCUUGGGGACAGAAUUUGGAUAUCGACUUUUUUGUUUGUAGCAAGAACAGUUGAUUAGUAUGUUCCAGAGAACAGCGGAUCAUCAAACAGCCAGCCCAUUGAACUAUUAUCCUAUUGGACGUUGGGGUUGCUCCUUUUCGAGGUUUCUAGAUUUGUGUAUUGUCCAAAUAUAAGCCCUAACUUGAUGGAAGACUUCAGGAUCAGAUAACGUUGAAUGCCAGCAUAAAUGCACGAAGCAUAGCGGUCUCAUAUAGAGAAAUGUGGAGGCAACUUCAAUGAAAUGCUCAAAGGCUGGCAUAGAGCCCAAUGCCCAUAUAGCAUCCUCCUCAAAUAUAUAUAUAUUGAAGCAAGGGAGCACGAAAAACCAAAGCUAGCCAAUCAUAGAUGAAAUAUGAGUUGACUGAUAAUCAAUUCAUUCAGAGUGGUGUUUUUGAAUUGAGAGGAGCCAUGCAUUUAUAUUUUACUUGGUCAAGUUCCUUAUUUUGAUGCGUGAAUAGAGAUCUUACGUGCUCAAAAAUAAAAUAAAAUGUUUUCUAGAUUACCAAGUGAAAGGUACAUUGCUGAUCGUUAUAUAUGAGAAAUCCUUGUAAACUGUUGUUGAUGAUGAUAGUUUAUUGUGAAUUGUAAAUUGCCUCUUUGAAUUGUAUGAUAAACCCUUUGAUUUGGGAAAUUUUUAUAUUUGAGAUCACCUGUAUAAAACAUAUGCGAUUGCUAUUGCUUGCCAUCCGAUGUAAAUGGACAACUGGGAUAACUUUUAUCAUAAUGUCACAUCUACACUGUUGUAUUGUUAAGUUUUUUUUAAUAAAGGGUCUUGAUAUUAAAUUUAGUUUUAACUUGUGAUAUUAAGAUUGAAGUUAUUCUAGCUGUUCAUUUGGAUUUGAUGGCUGAAAAUAGCAUUCAUUGUGUGGGUGUGAUAUAUGUAUAAUAUUUUUAUCCCUCACUUCUUAAUUGCUAGGUCUGGGUAUCAUUGUAGAGUAUAUUAGUGUAUAACUAGCUUAUCAUAAUUUUUCAAGCUUCAUCCUAACUAAUGGGGUUAGUUAUACGAGUCUUGGUAUGACAUUUCACUCUAUCAAGGGCAAUACUUUCUGUCAUUAUAUUUCAUCAUAUUUUUUCUCACUAUUUUCAAUUGUUCUUUUAAGUCAUUUUUUUGUUUUUUUAGAUCUUGUCUUUUUAUAGCUUUCCACUUGAAUCAAAUCAUCCAUCCGAACGGGUGUUAUAGGUCAAUUUUGUAUAUUGCCAAACAUUAGUGCAUAGUUAAUGUUAUAGUUAAAAAAAGAAAAAAAUAACAGCGAUGUACUACGGGAUGUAUAUAAGGGAGGGCUAUUUCGGUAGUCCUACCAAUAAUAAUAAAUCAAUAAAUGAUCUGAGUUGUCCAUUUUUUAGUCCUACCGUGGAUGAUUAUUUUAUUUUCAAAAAUCUCCUUAAAUCUAUAUGUAUCAAUGUACAAUCGAGGAAUGAACGGUUCAAAACAGGUUACUUACAAGAUUUUAAAAGGAUAUUUCCCCAAGUUUACCAAACAAAAAAAAUGAUUCCAUAGGGAAUUUCAGAUAUGUUACAAAUAUAUGAAAAACAAANNNNNNNNNNNNNNNNNNNNGUCUGUAAAUGCCCAAGAUGUUAGAGCUCCCUCUCUCUCUCUCUCUCUUUAAGACCUUGUAGACCAGAUUUUUCUCACCCCAAAUUCCCAAUUGCAUAGAAAUCUCUCUCUAUAGAGGAGUGUUUCCUUAAACAAAUGCCCAAGAGGAGUAUAGGGCUUUCUCUCUCUAGAGGAGUAUCUCCCUAUACAAAUUAUUCUCUCACCCCAAUCCCCAGUAGCAAACUAUUGUUGUGGAGAGAGAGCGAGAGACAUGAGGAGAGAGAGAGAGUUGGGGGGAAAUCAUGGGAGAGAGAGAAGUUUUAGGAGAAUCAUGUGAAGAGAGAGGUUUACAAAGGGUAUGUCUUUUUAAGAUUUGUUUGGGCUAAAAACAAUAGGGUCAAAGUGAGUAAAUUUGGUCUAGGUGGUUAGAAGAUAUAAUAUACGUGAUAACCAUGUCCUACGAUAUGUUUUGAAACUUUAGGUUUAUUGGGAAAUGAAACCUAAAAACAGGGGAUAUGGAGAUAUGUUCACUUUAUUUUAUUUUCUUUUACACGUAGCUCGGUUUGGAUGAAUUCAUCCAAAGAUGUAGCUUUUCUGAAAUAGUGCUUUUGUUAUGGAUUUCUUGAGGAACCUGCAUGAGUUUGGGAUGUUUGAUUGCUGUGUUAUUAAAAUUAUAGUUGUAAGCCACUGUUUUAUUGAACUUAUGGACUCUAUAGCUAAAGAAAACUCAGAACUUUGACGAACAUGCUUGCUAAUGAUUUUUUGAUUUUGAAUGUUGUUCGUAUUCUGUGUGUAUGGAUUUCUAUUGUUUCGUGUAGUUUAAGUUUGGGAAUAAAUGUUUACUGUGAUCUAUAACUGCAUUUAUGGCUAUGAUUUGUAUGUUUGGUGGUCAUUGGGUUGGGUGCUAUUUCAUUCAUAUCAGUGCUUUUCUUUCUUUUCUUAUUUUUUUGGCAGAUUUUAAAAAAUUUGGAAGCUUUUGAUGGUUUACACUAGACAUGAAUAAAACCCACUUUCAAAAGGGAAUAUGGUGUGAUAUCCUAGGUUUCUUAUGGGUGUAUGCUUGUACUUUGAGAAUGUGAGAUCUGCCAUAUUGAAUAGUACGUUGGCUUUUGGUAUUUGAUAGAGUAGUAUCUGAUUUUAUUUUAUUUUUAUUUGAAAAGUGAGUAGUAUCUGAUGUUAAGAGCUAAGAAGUCUUAAAAUAAUAUUUUGACAAACAAUUAUGUCGGCAUUUAGUUUCAUGGAUAGUAGUUGCAAGUUUGCAACUUAACAAGUUCAAUAACAUGGCCCUUGGGGACAGAAUUUGGAUGUCGACUUUUUUGUUUGUAGCAAGAACAGUUGAUUAGUAUGUUCCAGAGAACAGCGGAUCAUCAAACAGCCAGCCCAUUGAACUAUUAUCCUAUUGGACGUUGGGGUUGCUCCUUUUCGAGGUUUCUAGAUUUGUGUAUUGUCCAAAUAUAAGCCCUAACUUGAUGGAAGACUUCAGGAUCAGAUAACGUUGAAUGCCAGCAUAAAUGCACGAAGCAUAGCGGUCUCAUAUAGAGAAAUGUGGAGGCAACUUCAAUGAAAUGCUCAAAGGCUGGCAUAGAGCCCAAUGCCCAUAUAGCAUCCUCCUCAAAUAUAUAUAUAUAUUGAAGCAAGGGAGCACGAAAAACCAAAGCUAGCCAAUCAUAGAUGAAAUAUGAGUUGACUGAUAAUCAGUUCAUUCAGAGUGGUGUUUUUGAAUUGAGAGGAGCCAUGCAUUUAUAUUUUACUUGGUCAAGUUCCUUAUUUUGAUGCGUGAAUAGAGAUCUUACGUGCUCAAAAAUAAAAUAAAAUGUUUUCUAGAUUACCAAGUGAAAGGUAAAUUGCUGAUCCUUAUAUACGAGAAAUCCUUGUAAACUGUUGUUCAUGAUGAUAGUUUAUUGUGAAUUGUAAAUUGCCUCUUUGAAUUGUAUGAUAAACCCUUUGAUUUGGGAAAUUUUUAUAUUUGAGAUCACCUGUAUAAAACAUAUGCGAUUGCUAUUGCUUGCCAUCCGAUGUAAAUGGACAACUGGGAUAACUUUUAUCAUAAUGUCAC